AACGGUCUAUACCUGCGGUACCUGCGGAAGGAUCAUUACUGAGUUUUACACUCAAUCACCUCUGUGAACUUAUCUGUUGCUUUGGCAGGGAGCCAGCUUUUAGAAGGCUGCUAAUUGUCAGGAUAUAGCCAUUUUUGGCUGUCUAUCUUGUGCCCUGCCGAAGGCGUUUUAAAUCAAAAUUUUUUAGUGACUUAUCUGAUAAUGUUAUCAUAAAUAUAAUAAACUUUCAACAAUGGAUCU
rnacentral:misc_RNA from 1 species